ensembl:misc_RNA Metazoa_SRP Metazoan signal recognition particle RNA
GCUAGGCAUGGUGGCACAUGCCUGUAGUCCCAAUUACUUGGGAGGCUGAGGCUGGAGGAUUGCUUGAGUCUAGGAGUUCUGGGCUGUAGUGUGCUAUGCCAAGUGGGUGUCUGUACUAAGUUCAGCAUCAAUAUGAUGAUCUUCCGGGAGUGGGGGACCACCAGGUUGCCUAAGGAGGGGUGAACUGGCCCAGGUCAGAAAUGGAGCAUGUCAAAACUCCCAUGCUGAUCAGUAGUGGGAUCAUGCCUGUGAAUAGCUACUGCACUCCAGCCUGGGCAACAUAGCGAGACCCCAUCUCUA